rnacentral:rRNA from 1 species
CAGCUUGCUGGGUUGAUUAGUGGCGAACGGGUGAGUAACACGUGAGUAACCUGCCCAUCACUCUGGGAUAACUCCGGGAAACCGGUGCUAAUACCGGGUAUGACUCCGAUCCGCAUGGGUACGGGGUGGAAAGAUUUAUCGGUGGUGGAUGGACUCGCGGCCUAUCAGCUUGUUGGUGGGGUAAUGGCCUACCAAGGCGACGACGGGUAGCCGGCCUGAGAGGGUGACCGGCCACACUGGGACUGAGACACGGCCCAGACUCCUACGGGAGGCAGCAGUGGGGAAUAUUGCACAAUGGGCGGAAGCCUGAUGCAGCGACGCCGCGUGCGGGAUGACGGCCUUCGGGUUGUAAACCGCUUUCAGCUCUGACGAAGCUUUUGUGACGGUAGGAGCAGAAGAAGCACCGGCUAACUACGUGCCAGCAGCCGCGGUAAUACGUAGGGUGCGAGCGUUGUCCGGAAUUAUUGGGCGUAAAGAGCUUGUAGGCGGCUUGUCGCGUCUGCUGUGAAAGCCCGGGGCUUAACCCCGGGUCUGCAGUGGGUACGGGCAGGCUAGAGUGUGGUAGGGGAGACUGGAAUUCCUGGUGUAGCGGUGGAAUGCGCAGAUAUCAGGAGGAACACCGAUGGCGAAGGCAGGUCUCUGGGCCAUUACUGACGCUGAGAAGCGAAAGCGUGGGGAGCGAACAGGAUUAGAUACCCUGGUAGUCCACGCCGUAAACGUUGGGCGCUAG